rnacentral:rRNA from 1 species
GGAGGCAGCAGUGGGGAAUUUUCCGCAAUGGGCGAAAGCCUGACGGAGCAAGACCGCGUGGGGGAGGAAGGUUCUUGGAUUGUCAACCCCUUUUCUCAGGGAAGAACACAAUGACGGUACCUGAGGAAAAAGCAUCGGCUAACUCCGUGCCAGCAGCCGCGGUAAUACGGGGGAUGCAAGCGUUAUCCGGAAUGAUUGGGCGUAAAGAGUCCGUAGGUAGUCAUCCAAGUCUGCUGUUAAAGAGCGAGGCUUAACCUCGUAAAGGCAGUGGAAACUGGAAGACUAGAGUGUAGUAGGGGCAGAGGGAAUUCCUGGUGUAGCGGUGAAAUGCGUAGAGAUCAGGAAGAACACCGGUGGCGAAGGCCGUCUGCUGGGCUAUAACUGACACUGAGGGACGAAAGCUAGGGGAGCGAAUGGGAUUAGAUACCCCAGUAGUCCUAGCGGUAAACGAUGGAAACUAGGUGUGGCCUGUAUCGACC